rnacentral:rRNA from 1 species
AACGUAGGGGGCAAGCGUUAUCCGGAAUUACUGGGUGUAAAGGGUGUGUAGGCGGCCAAUUAAGCCAUAUGUGAAAUGCCAGAGCUCAACUCUGGAACUGCAUAAGGAACUGAAGGGCUAGAGUACAGGAGAGGUAAGCGGAAUUCCUAGUGUAGCGGUGAAAUGCGUAGAUAUUAGGAGGAACACCAGUGGCGAAGGCGGCUUACUGGACUGAAACUGACGCUGAGACACGAAAGCGUGGGGAGCAAAC